rnacentral:lncRNA from 1 species
CAAAUAAUAUUGUAAAGGGAUGCAGCAGAUGGUCUCUAAAAACAUUUUUUAUUGUCAUUCUGUGAUUCUCUGAAUGAUUUGCAUUCAUUCAUUGGGCAAACACAGAUUAAAUACCUACCAAGUUGUAUCCUAGGCAAGGCAUUUAUUCUGCAUUAAUUCACCCAGGACAUUUUACCUGAUUGGAGCCAGAGACAGGAGAUUUGAUUCUAGCAAGGCUUUGGUACAUACACUAUCUGAAGAGUCCUCACGGGCCCCCAAGCAUUGGAGAAAGGAAAUCAAGCCACCAUUUCCAGUUUGGUUCCUAAAUGGAGCCAAAGCAGAAAUAGAACCUAGGAACUUUGGGCUUUCAAGCAAACACUGUAUUUAUGAGGCUCUGCACCUCCCACUGCCCCAGAGACUGCCAAACCCCAUCAGAGUGAAGAAGCAAAGUGCAGACAAUGCAAUCUGCGGCCCCUGGCUAAGGAUCAGAAAAAUUUAGCAAAACCCAAAA